AAAAUUACUUCUUCGGCUCCACUUUUUGGCGACCUAUUGCCUCCGGCAUUUGACAUUUUUCUCUGGGGCGCGAGUUCUGGCGCACCCUGUAUAUAUAAUGAAGGCAAAGUCAAUAUCUUGAGAGCACGAAAAGCAGUGAGAACAAUCGAUGGCGACAAGAAGAUUGACGCCAGAUUAAAAUACUGUAAGAAAGAAGUGAUUGAACAAGGGCAAAGUAUGCAACUCUAACAGUUGACAGAGAUGUAUUGUUGACUAGUUGUCUAAAUAAAAACGUUAAUUUGU